AGUUUUAAAAUGGCAAGCUUAUGAUAAUGUAUUAAAAUGUUAAUUUUGCCUCUAUAAACCACUCAAGGUGGGCUAGUGGUAGGAGGGAUUUCAGGCUGAGGGUGCAAUUCCCAAUACUCCUGGGUUCGAAUCCCCGCGGCUGCAAACAACUUGAGUGGCCACGAGGGGAUUUACAUGGGCUCCUCUCGCCCUCCAGACCGCUUCGCGUAAACAGGGGCCCUUAAG
rnacentral:lncRNA from 1 species